rnacentral:rRNA from 1 species
GAACGCUGGCGGUGUGCUUAACACAUGCAAGUCGCACGGUAAGGCCCUUUCGGGGGUCCACGAGUGGCGAACGGGUGAGUAACACGUGAGUAACCUGCCCUCAUCUCUGGGAUAACAGUCGGAAACGGUUGCUAAUACUGGAUAUGAGCCUGCAAGGCAUCUUGUGGGUUGGAAAGAUUUUUUGGUUGGGGAUGGACUCGCGGCCUAUCAGCUUGUUGGUGAGGUAGUGGCUCACCAAGGCUUCGACGGGUAGCCGGCCUGAGAGGGCGACCGGCCACAUUGGGACUGAGAUACGGCCCAAACUCCUACGGGAGGCAGCAGUGGGGAAUAUUGCACAAUGGACGGAAGUCUGAUGCAGCAACGCCGCGGGCGGGAUGACGGCCUUCGGGUUGUAAACCGCUUUCAAUUGUGACGAAGCUUUUUGUGACGGUAGCAGUAGAAGAAGCACCGGCUAACUACGUG